rnacentral:pre_miRNA from 7 species
AAGGCAGGGGUGAGGGGCUGCGGGAGGAGCCGGGCGGAGGCUGCGGCUUGCGCUUCUCCUGGCUCUCCUCCCUCUCUUU